AUUGAACGCUGGCGGCAUGCUUUACACAUGCAAGUCGAACGGCAGCGCGGGCUUCGGCCUGGCGGCGAGUGGCGAACGGGUGAGUAAUGCAUCGGAACGUGCCCAGUAGUGGGGGAUAGCCCGGCGAAAGCCGGAUUAAUACCGCAUACGACCUGAGGGUGAAAGCGGGGGACCGAAAGGCCUCGCGCUAUUGGAGCGGCCGAUGUCGGAUUAGCUAGUUGGUGGGGUAAAGGCUUACCAAGGCGACGAUCCGUAGCUGGUCUGAGAGGACGACCAGCCACACUGGGACUGAGACACGGCUCAGACUCCUACGGGAGGCAGCAGUGGGGAAUUUUGGACAAUGGGGGCAACCCUGAUCCAGCCAUGCCGCGUGCGGGAAGAAGGCCUUCGGGUCGUAAACCGCUUUUGUUCGGGAAGAAAUCCUCUGGGCUAAUACCCCGGGGGGAUGACGGUACCGGAAGAAUAAGCACCGGCUAACUACGUG
rnacentral:rRNA from 1 species